GGCGGAACAAGCGGGUAAACAGAAGAACAAAAAGAGGAAGGAGAGGACUCAGAAAAAGCGAAAAGUUUCAAACAACGAAGGAGGAAGAAAAGGUACUAACCCGAGGUCCGAUUCCACUUCUCAAGCUCAUCGGAAACGUUGUUUUCAGUAGCUUAAGCAAUCACCAAGUCAAGAGCUUCAAGAAGAUCCUUUGUGCAAGAGAUGAGGUAUUUUCUUGGGAUGAGGAUCACAUGAUUAUUAUAAGGAGCUUACAUGAGUUAGGGUUUCAUUUUGAAGCAAUUUCACCAAGUGGUAGAGGCUCAAGUUAAUCAAGACAUUUCAAGGUCAUCUGAGGACCAAAAGUCAACUGUGCAGUCAACUGAGGGCUAUGAGGUGGGGAAAUGAGUUGAGACAACUCAAUCAUGUUCAAAUGGGGGCUAUUCAUCAUUCUAAACAUCCAUCUUGAAGAUUCAAAGGUCAUGGCAAAAGUUACUAAAAAUGGAAAAUGACCUAUAAUUCAAAGUUUCCAAAUUUGGCAAGUUUUGGUCCACUUUCAACUUGACUUGUCAAUGUCAAAUAAGUUUCAAAUGGACUUUUGGUGAACAUGAAAGUUGUAGAUUUUUGUCUCCCCUUUCAAAAAAGUCCUAAUUCAUGUCCAUAUGAUGAAUGGUUGAGAAGUUAUGGUCAUUUGAUCACAAAGUGUGCAUGGAAAUUCAAAAUGGCAUAACUUUUGAUGUAAUGCUUCAAAUUGGUUCAUUCUUUUUGCAAAAUGCUUCUCAUGUUCAAGGCAUCUCAAAGUAACAUCAUUUGGCUCAAUUGUGCAAAGGAAUCAUGGUCAAAAGUUCAUUAUUUCACACAUGUUCAUUUUGAAGAAAAUCUUCACCAUUCAUUAUUGGCUUAAGAUGCAAGCAAAUUAAUAUUCAAAUCAUGACCAUUGGUUGCUUUUGAGUGAAUUCCAAUCAUAACAUGGAGAUGAUCACGUGUAUUAUGGGCACAUGAGCUCAUUUUGCAUUUUUGCAAAUUGCUUCAUAUCUCACUAAUCAUGAUUAGCAAAUGGAAAAGAUGAUUAGCAUUGUCAUUAGCAUGGGAUAUAAAUACUGAAACCCUAAUCAUAACUGCAAGAACAAACCAUUUCAGAUCUGAAAAAUUAAAGAAUUCUCUCAAAUUUCUCUCUCUUCGAUUCUUCAUUUUCUCCACACAAACACCAAAUAUUCUUGUAGAUUAUUGAUCCUCAUGCUUCACUGAGCAAGAAUCAUCCAUCAUCUGUUGCAAUUCAUCAAGAUUUCGAGCUGUUCAAGAGCAUUCUCAUGGCAAUGGAAGCUGGAAAUUGAGGUAGAUUCAAGAGGUUUCAACUGUUUCUUCUUGCACAAAGCUUCAACAGAAGUUCAUAGGAGUGGAUCUGGAGCACUAGAGCUUGUGAUAACACGAUUUUAGAAAGCUUCAAUUCAAGGUGACUCAAUUUUCGUCCUCUCCUUUUGCUGUUUUCAUGAUAUAGAACUGUAGAUCUUGUUGAGUAGAGCAUGGACAUAUGUUUAGAUUUGAAUUUGGUUGAGAAUUGAGCAUGUAUGGUUGACUGGAAGUUUAGAUCUAGAAUAUGUUUUCCUUCGAUCUACCAAAUUUAUGAGGAAUUAGAGGAAAUUGAUGUGAUAUUUGGAACCUACGUGGAGAGACGGUUCGAAUGAUAUAAGCCUUGUUGAUUUCUGGAAUUUUUUUUUGUGGAAGAGCCGUUGGAGGCUCGCCGGGGAAGACGACCGGAGCUGUAGCUCCGGCGUCUGCGUGUACUUAGGGUUUGCGUGAUGUGUCUGCCAUGUGUGCCUUGCGUGGACAGGCGAUUGGCUAGAAUUUGUUUGACCAUGGCCAUGCAUUAUUUGACUGCUGAUGUGUGUGUGCUGACUAUUAAAUGAAACGGUGCGUUUCAUGCUUUUGAAUGUGAGCUGUUGAUGCUUGAAGCGUGCCAGAUCCAAGGGUGUGUGAUUUUUCUGAGUUUAUUUGAAUAUUUGUAUUUCCCUCCAUUUUCCAUUUGAUAAUUCAAUUAUUUUGCUUGUUUUUUUUUAAAUCAUAAAAAAUGCAAAAAUGAUCCAAAUGAGUUCCAAUUUUUUUUCAUGGUUUUGUAUUGAUGUCUAAUUUUUUUUAAUGUUAAUUUCAUGAAUUGUUGAUGUCUGGUUUUUGAUGUGUGAAUUUUUGAAUUGAUGUGAUGCCAAAUUGAUAUGUUGCA